AGAGAGAGACAUGCGCGCAUAUCAAUAAGCGGAGGAAAAGAAACUAACUAGGAUUCCCUCAGUAACGGCGAGUGAAGCGUGGAAGAGAGCUCAAAUUUGAAAUCUUCAAGGUUCUACCUUGACGAAUUGUAGUUUAAAGAAGUGUUUUCUGUUGGAGUUUUGGUAAAAGUUCUUUGGAAUAGGACAUCAUAGAGGGUGAGAAUCCCGUAUUUGACCAUUAUUUCCAGCUUUGUGAUACACUUUCAAAGAGUCGGAUUGUUUGGGAAUGCAGUCCAAAAUGGGUGGUAAAUUUCAUCUAAAGCUAAAUACUGGCGAGAGACCGAUAGCGAACGAGUACCGUGAGGGAAAGAUGAAAAGAACUUUGAAAAGAGAGUUAAACAGUACGUGAAAUUGUCAAAAGGGAAGCGUUUGACACCAGUGUUGUUUUCUCGAAAAUCAAUUAAAAAAGGCAGGAUUUUGUGUUGUAUUGACUUUAUCAGCUUUCUGCACUCUUUUCUUGUCUUUUUUAAUGCACUUUUCGUUUAACAAGUCAACAUCAAUUUCUUUUGUUGUAAAAGGGUCAUUGGAAGGUGGCUUUCUUUUCGGAGAAAGUGUUUAUAGCCUUUGGCCUCUGCAAUCGGAGAGAUUGAGGUCUGCAGCGUAGAUCCUUCGGGGUUAGAUACAUUUGUGCUAAGUUAUAGCCUUUCAUAGACAACUUGUUGACUAUGAUCAGUCAUGUAGCUUACUCGCUUAUGCUAUUUUACCUACGCUUAGGAUGUUGAUGUGAUACUGCGAGCA
rnacentral:rRNA from 1 species